CACGGACACAGCAGAGCUUUCCAUACUUCCCUUCGCUCCACACCGCCGAGCUGAGCUGAGCGGCCGACGGCCAUGGCUUCUCCGGAGGCCAAAUCCCAUGCACCGAACAUCUGCAUAACUGAAGAGUGGUCAGAGGCCGCCGAGUCCAUCGCUUUCGGCUCUGCCGCUUCGCCGCCGCCGAUCACCUUGGUGUGCGGUCCCAAAAAUUCCGGCAAGACCACCUUCUCCCGCCACCUCGUCAACGUUCUCCUUCAGAGGUAUAAAAAAGUGGCAUUUUUGGAUACUGAUGUUGGGCAAACAGAGUUUACACCCCCAGGAAUUCUAUCUCUGUGCAUAAUUGAUAAGCCAAUUCCAGAUUUGACAAUUCUAUGCAUGAAGACACCAGAAAGAUGCUUUUUCUUUGGGGAUACCAGUUCAAAUAGGGACCCAAGAAAGUACUUGAAGUGCAUAUCUGCGCUCUACAAUUACUACAGAGAGGAGUUGCGCAAGUUAAAAGGCAGCAAAAACACUAUAAUUGAGCUGCCUCUUGUUGUUAACACACCUGGCUGGGUGAAAGGCACUGGUUAUGAAGUGUUAGUGAAGAUGAUAAAUUAUGUUUCUCCUACGCAUGUCGUUAAGAUAAGGAUACCUGCAGAGAAUAAGAAUUUGCCAGCUGGAGCUUUCUGGUUGGAAGGGGGUUGCAGUCAUUCAUCUUUACUGGAGAUCAAGUCGGUUCGUUAUGACACCUUGAAUAGAUCGAUUCUUCUACAGAAAUCUGCUGCACUGUUGCGAGAUUUGAAGGUGAUGGCUUAUUUCCGACAGUGCUUCCCUAGUUCCUCAAACCUAACCAGAAACAAGGACCUUGCCCGAGCAUUAGCUGCUCUCCCUCCUUACGAAGUUCCAAUAUCAAGUGUACAAAUCAGGCAUCUAUAUUGCCAGGUCCCCACUACUGAAGUAUUUUAUAGUCUGAAUGCUAGCAUUGUUGGCCUAGGAGUCAGCUCUGAAGAGUCUCCAGAUUUACCUCUGUGUGUCGGGCUUGUCAGACCUGUGAUCGCAUAAUGCAACCAAGCGUUUACAGAAAGGAAUUGUGAGAGGCAUAGACCUAUUCAAAGGAUUGCUUUAUGUUAUUACUCCGGUUCCACCAAGGAUUUUGGAGCGGGUUGAUAUAUUGCUGCAGGGUUUCAUCCAGAUACCUCAGGGUUUCUUGCAGGCCCAAGGAUGCAUUUCUCCCUACAUGGCCACAAACGUGCUGCCCAUAUGUUAGCCGAUGCCAAGAAUUGCUGUCCAUUGAUUACUGACUAGACAAAGUACUGCAGACAAGGCCUCUCAUCCUUUUCUUUUGUUUUGUUUUUUUUUUUGGCCACUGCCUCUCUUCCCUGAAGAAAACAAAUACUUGCCAACUGCCAUAGAUUAAUCAUAAGAUAUAAUACCAGCUGGAGUUUCUUCCUCCCAAGUAGUGGAGUACAAUUUAUUCCUAAGAAUUCCGAAUACAAUCUUUUCGAAUCAAUACUUUUGAUAAUUACCAUUAGUUUUAUGCCCUUA